rnacentral:rRNA from 1 species
AUGAACGCUAGCGACAGGCCUAACACAUGCAAGUCGAGGGGCAGCACAAGGAGCGAUCUGAGGUGGCGACCGGCGCACGGGUGAGUAACACGUAUGCAACCUGCCUGUAAGCGGGGAAUAACCCGUUGAAAGACGGACUAAUACCGCAUAAUACUAAAUUACUGCAUGGUAAUUUAUUUAAACAUUUAUGGCUUACAGAUGGGCAUGCGCAUGAUUAGCUAGUUGGAGAGGUAACGGCUCCCCAAGGCAACGAUCAUUAGGGGUUCUGAGAGGAAGGUCCCCCACACUGGUACUGAGACACGGACCAGACUCCUACGGGAGGCAGCAGUGAGGAAUAUUGGUCAAUGGACGAGAGUCUGAACCAGCCAAGUCGCGUGCAGGAAGAAUGUCCUAUGGAUUGUAAACUGCUUUUGCAGGGGAAUAAAGUGCAUCACGUGUGAUGUUUUGUAUGUACUCUGCGAAUAAGGAUCGGCUAACUCCGUGCCAGCAGCAGC